CGCUUUAAUACAUGCAGUCGAGCGGACAGAUGGGAGCUUGCUCCCUGAUGUUAGCGGCGGACGGGUGAGUAACACGUGGGUAACCUGCCUGUAAGACUGGGAUAACUCCGGGAAACCGGGGCUAAUACCGGAUGCUUGUUUGAACCGCAUGGUUCAAACAUAAAAGGUGGCUUCGGCUACCACUUACAGAUGGACCCGCGGCGCAUUAGCUAGUUGGUGAGGUAAUGGCUCACCAAGGCGACGAUGCGUAGCCGACCUGAGAGGGUGAUCGGCCACACUGGGACUGAGACACGGCCCAGACUCCUACGGGAGGCAGCAGUAGGGAAUCUUCCGCAAUGGACGAAAGUCUGACGGAGCAACGCCGCGUGAGUGAUGAAGGUUUUCGGAUCGUAAAGCUCUGUUGUUAGGGAAGAACAAGUACCGUUCGAAUAGGGCGGUACCUUGACGGUACCUAACCAGAAAGCCACGGCUAACUACGUGCCAGCAGCCGCGGUAAUACGUAGGUGGCAAGCGUUGUCCGGAAUUAUUGGGCGUAAAGGGCUCGCAGGCGGUUUCUUAAGUCUGAUGUGAAAGCCCCGGCUCAACCGGGAGGGUCAUUGGAAACUGGGGAACUUGAGUGCAGAAGAGGAGAGUGGAUUCCACGUGUAGCGGUGAAAUGCGUAGAGAUGUGGAGAACACCAGUGGCGAAGCGACUCUCUGUCUGAACUGACGCUGAGAGCAAAGCGGGGGAGCGAAAGGAUAGAUACCUGGUAGUCCCGCCGUAACGAUGAGUGCAAGUGUUAGGGGGUUCCGCCCUUAGUGCUGCGCUAACCAUUAGCACUCCCCUGGGAGUACGUCGCAGACUGAACUCAAGGAUUGACGGGGCCCGCACAGCGUGGACAUGUGGUUAAUUCGAGCACGCAAGAACUUACCGGUCUUGACAUCUCUGACAUCUAGAGUAGGACGUCCCUUCGGGGCAGAUGACAGUGGGCAUGUUUUCGCCACUCGGUCGGGAAAGUUGG
rnacentral:rRNA from 1 species